UUUCAGAGGUUUUUUACUAUCAAGUAAGAGCAUCGUUAAAAAGACACUCAUUGACCAAGGCAAACAUCACACUAAUCGAAAUUAGGAAAACCAAAGAAAUAUAACGGAAGCGCGCAUUGUGGUUUAUAUCGCAUAUGCAGGUAAAUCACAAAGAUGUAUACCAAGAAACACUAAGCAAAACUGCGCCUUAGCAAUCGCGUCAUAUCUAUUUGCUGGCAUGCAGUGACUGCAGCACUUGGGGCGGAAACAGAUCGAACGCCGCCGCAAAUUUCUGGCACAUACCACUCAAAUGCACGCUGCAGAAACGAUUUUUUUUUUUUCAAGGAAUCUUGAACAGUCACAGACCACAUGAGCGCGAUCCGCGCAUGAUAAGCGCAUCGCCACGAAAGCAAGAUAGGGAACACAUAAGCGUAACCUGUACCUCACGGGUAAAAUUAAACAUCAUCGUAUAUACGUUGCUGUGCGACGGACACAAGCGCACGGAAACAUCACACACUGCACACGUGUACCUCCGAGGUUGUGUCGACAAUUUCUGGGCUACAUUUAAACGACAGCAGGAAGUUACUUCAAUGAGAAACGAAGUGAGGGCACAGGCACUGCAGGUAACGGCUGCGCAUAAAGUCAGUUAGGGUUUUAAGGCCAGUGACCGAGGUUGAAAUCGUUAAAAUCACACCGCAGCGAUAGCUUACACAGGGUAAAUUGUCGAGAUCUUGAAGGCCAUGCUUUUUGCUGACUACAUGUGGCAUAAGCGAUUCAAAAGCAAGAAUACUGCAUGUAAUUUAUUUCUGCCCUAAACUAUAGCACACAAUAUGAGCAUGUCAAUGUUUCUUCUUGUCUAGCAACAUAUGUAUGUAGUUCGGCUCAAAGGCCGGCUCAAAACGGCACAAAACCUGCUGUAGUGGGUAUUAUUGUAGGAAUCACGGAGGCCACAGCAGCCGCACUAUUAUACAGACGGCGCUGGCGGCGCCGGUAUUUUCGUAUUCAACGCGACAGGUAGAAUACGAAGCUACGGCGUGUUGUUAUUGCUCCGUCUUCAACGGUUGUCGUGCGAGCUGCGUCGAUGUGUUUGUUUGACCGUGUGUUAUUAGGUUUGCUGUAAUGAAAUGAGACGUAGUUCGCGAGCACGAAAGUGCCAGAAGAUGGCUUGAGUCUCGCUGUAAGCACGCCGUAUGCGUGGCGCGCCAGCUAAAUGUGGACCAACGAUUUUCAUGCCAUGGAGUGCGUUCCCUUUGUCUCCGCUUGUGUUCGUGGAAAGUUUGGUGGACGGCGCAGAGAAGUAAUGCGUAUUAUUAGCGCGCCUCAGCUCGUCCACUACCCAGUGGCUUGUUUGCUGCAAGUAACAUCGCAGACGCAUCACUGGAAACUUGGAGAGUGCCUUUCGACCUCGUCGUACUGUUGAAACGUGGCGAGGCCGUGACCCACAACAUUAACUACAAGAUCGAGGAGCCCCAAGAAAUGCCGACCCUGUGGAUAUAUGGCUGCAGCAGCAUGGCGUGUGAUCUGGAUCGUCAUGACAGGCUCCACCGUCGCCGUUACUAGACGGACCAAAUGAGGCCAAGAAAUAGCCUUUCCUCGCUCCAUUCCUGGGAAGUGAAAUAGCAGGUGGUCAUGUAAGAAUGAACUUGCAACCAUGUGGGCAGUAGCCAAAGCUCCCUACAGUUCAUGCUGGUGGUGGAAUGAUAAGACAAACCGCAAUAUUUAUUUGUUUACUUAUUCACUUAAUAUUUAUUUAUUCAUAUCUCAUGAAUACUGUGCAAUUUUUUUAGCAAGGAGUCAGGUAAAAUAAAGAAAUAUUGUUGCAUCAAAGUAAACGUUAUUUGAAAAAGCAUAAUUCACGUAGCACGAAUUCAUGGAAACUGUAAAUUUUGAAGAAACAGAGCAGUAAGGUUAACAAAUCUUAUAUAACAAAAAAUGAGAUCACAUUUCUGUUGGACCUAAUACCAUAAUUUAAUCUGUCAAAUUAGAGAUACCAUAUGCUGCUCUAAUAUACAAUCACUAAUUUAUGAGUAGAUGCGCGAAACUCUCAAACGUUGCAACAAUUUCAUGCUAGCUGUAAAUUCAUAUAUACAGUUUGUUGACUUCAGACAUAGCCGAUGGAGUCUGCAGAACUAUGAUAUCUCUUUCUGGCACAGAAACGGGCAUUAGUAAGCUUCGUGGUGUUAUUUUUCUUAAACCUGCCAAAUAGUCCUUCCUGCAACAGGU